AAAAUGCAUCCGUUGAUGGCUCUC
rnacentral:siRNA from 1 species